rnacentral:rRNA from 1 species
CGGAGGGGCGAGCGUUGUUCGGAAACAUUGGGCGUAAAGGGCGCGUAGGCGGCCUUGCAAGUCGGGUGUGAAACCCCUCGGCUCAACCGAGGAACCGCACUCGAUACUGCCGGGCUAGAGUCCGGGAGGGGAUGGUGGAAUUCCCAGUGUAGCGGUGAAAUGCGUAGAUAUUGGGAAGAACACCGGUGGCGAAGGCGGCCAUCUGGACCGGUACUGACGCUGAGGCGCGAAAGCUAGGGGAGCGAAUGGGAUUAGAUACCCCGGUAGUCCUAGCUGUAAACGAUGGGCACUUGAUGUGGCAGGUUCUGACCCCUGCCGUGUCGAAGCUAACGCGUUAAGUGCCCCGCCUGGGGAGUACGGUCGCAAGGCUG